AUCACAUAAUGUAUGUAUAUUACAUUCUGUACGUUGAUACCACGUAAUUUAAAUUUGAAUUGCAUCAGGAUUUUCUUUUGCUUGUUGUUGAAGUGUGUAACACCGAUUCAGUACAAUUUUUCUAACAUUAAUACCUUAAAUAUAAUUAAAUUAGAAUUUUCUGUAACAAAAUUCUAUUGUACUUAUUUCAUUCAAGAAAUGUAAUUCUAUGCAAACCAAUCUGUAUUUUGACUUAGCACACGUGCAUCGUUCACAUGUAUAACCUACAAUAAUUUUUCGAUUAUAAGCUUUAAAAAUAAUAUUGUAUGAACGAGAAAAGUGUUUGUUUAUUUAUGUCAACUUUCAGAUAAUGCACACUCAAAAAGGAAUUCAAGAAACUGAUGUAUAUAGAUAAUACUUGCACGUUUGAAUUUUUUAUUAUAUAUCAAUUUACACGUUCUCAUAUUUAGAUAAAACACAAUUGUAAUAUUAUAAUUUAAUUUCAGAACUUGGUAGCAUAUAAAGAUAGGCAAAAUGGUCUCUCAAAUAUUUGAUGAAUCUCCUAAAGAAAUGCAGUUAUUAAGUUCAGAUGAUGAAUCUCAAAAUAAUAAGCAAGAUAUUAAGCAAGUUAGUAAUGUCGAAAAAGUACAAAUGAAAAAGCAACUUGGUCUUUUAGAAGGAGUUGCAAUAAUAUUGGGAAUUAUAUGUGGUUCAGGUAUUUUCAUUUCACCAAAGGGUAUAAUCACAGAAGUGGGAAGUGUUGGAGUAUCUUUAAUUGUAUGGAUUUUAUGUGGCUUACUUUCAAUGGUUGGGGCAUUAUGCUAUGCUGAAUUAGGAACUUGCAUACCUCGUAGUGGUGGUGAUUAUGCUUAUAUUUAUGAAGCUUUUGGAGCAUUACCUGCAUUUUUGUACUUAUGGGCUGCUAAUUUAAUUUUUAUCCCAACUACAAAUGCGAUUAUGGGAUUAACUUUUGCUCAGUAUGUGUUACAACCAUUCUUUCCAAACUGCACUAUUCCAGAUGGUGGUAUACGCUUACUAGCAGCUGUAACUAUUUGUUUGCUUACAUUUGCAAACUGUUAUGAUGUCAAGGAAACAUCAAAAAUGCAAAAUGUAUUUAUGUUUGCUAAAAUUGGUGCACUGGUAAUUAUAAUUAUUGCUGGACUGGUUUGGAUACUACUAGGGAACACAGAAAAUUUUGAGAAUGCUUUUGAAAACACGAUUACAGAACCGGGUAAAAUUGCAGUGGCCUUUUAUUCUGGAAUAUUCUCAUAUUCUGGAUGGAAUUACUUAAAUUUCAUGACUGAAGAAUUAAAAGAUCCUUAUGUAAAUUUGCCUCGUGCUAUAUAUAUAUCAUUGCCUUUAGUUACUUUCAUUUAUGUACUGGCAAAUGUAGCUUAUUUAUCAGUUUUAACACCAACUGAAAUGAUUGCUUCUCAUGCAAUCGCUGUGACUUUUGGAGACCAACUUCUUGGUAUAAUGGCAUGGACGAUACCUGUGAUGGUAGCUAUAUCUGCAUUUGGAGGAUUAAGUGUUCACAUUAUGACAUCCUCCCGAAUGUGUUUUGUAGGUGCUAGAAACGGUCAUUUUCCUUCAAUGUUAAGUCAUAUUAAUGUCUCGAGACUUACGCCUACACCUGCCUUAGUUUUUCUGUGUUUCUUGUCUUUAGUAAUGCUAUGUACAAGUGAUAUUUUUGUAUUAAUUACAUACUGCAGCAUAGUUGAAUCAUUUUUCAUCAUGUUAUCCGUCGCUGGUGUAUUAUGGCUCCGUUACAAACAACCUAAAAUGUCUCGACCAAUUAAGAUGCCUUUGUGGAUUCCUAUUACAUUUGUGGCUAUAUGUGCAUUUUUAGUAUUUGUUCCUUGUUAUGAAAGACCAUAUGAAGUUGGUAUUGGGGCUUUAAUAACUUUAUCUGGUGUUCCAGCUUAUUAUUUUGGUGUUAAAUGGAACAAUAAACCUUUAUGGUUUCAGCAACUUAAUCUUGAAAUUACCCACACUGUACAAAAGUUAUUUAUGUCUGCCACUGAAGAACGUGAUUAUUAAAUUUAAUUAUUAUAGAUUUUUAAAUAAUUCAAAUAGUAUAAAAUUUCAGUCUUCUAUUGCAAUUUCCAAGUGUUUAUAGUAACCUUGGCGUUACUAACAGUUACCACAGAACUGUGUUCUAUGUAAACAGAAGUUUACAAUGUGCAUGAACGACCAAAAAUUUACACGUUUUUUGAGUAUGAAGAUCUGUUUUUCAUAAGUAUUAAUUUGUUUAUUAUACUUUAUUUAUUAUGCCGAAGAAAUAUUAAAAAAUAAAUAGUGUGAUUUUUUGAUAACUUACAAAUUCAUUGAAUGCUAUAUGGACCUCAGUUAAAUAUAAUUUUAAAGUAAAGAUGCGCUUCAAACUUUGUUAAAUAAUUG